rnacentral:rRNA from 1 species
AACGAACGCUGGCGGCAGGCUUAACACAUGCAAGUCGAACGGUUGUAGCAAUACAGCAGUGGCGCACGGGUGAGUAACGCGUGGAUAUCUGCCUUUUGGUUCGGAAUAACUCCGGGAAACUGGAGCUAAUACCGGAUGGUUCCUGCGGGAUAAAGAUUUAUCGCCAAAAGAUGAGUCCGCGUACGAUUAGCUAGUUGGUGAGGUAAUGGCUCACCAAGGCGACGAUCGUUAGCUGGUCUGAGAGGACGAUCAGCCACACUGGGACUGAGACACGGCCCAGACUCCUACGGGAGGCAGCAGUGGGGAAUAUUGGACAAUGGGGGCAACCCUGAUCCAGCCAUGCCGCGUGAGUGAUGAAGGCCUUGGGCUGUAAAGCUCUUUGGUCGGGACGAUGAUGACGGUACCCGCAGAAUAAGCCCCGGCUAACUUCGUGCCAGCAGCCGC